rnacentral:rRNA from 1 species
GAUGAACGCUGGCGGCGUGCUUAACACAUGCAAGUCGAACGAAGCUGUUAAAAGGAAGUCUUCGGAUGGAAUUUUAACAGACUUAGUGGCGGACGGGUGAGUAACGCGUGGAUAACCUGCCUUAUACAGGGGGAUAACGGAGAGAAAUUUCCGCUAAGACCGCAUAAGACCACAGCACCGCAUGGUGCAGGGGUAAAAUAUUAAUAGGUAUAAGAUGGAUCCGCGUCCGAUUAGCUGGUUGGUGAGGUAGAGGCUCACCAAGGCGACGAUCGGUAGCCGGCCUGAGAGGGUGAACGGCCACAUUGGGACUGAGACACGGCCCAAACUCCUACGGGAGGCAGCAGUGGGGAAUAUUGGACAAUGGGGGAAACCCUGAUCCAGCGACGCCGCGUGAGUGAAGAAGUAUUUCGGUAUGUAAAGCUCUAUCAGCAGGGAAG